rnacentral:rRNA from 1 species
GCAAGUCGGACGGCAGCAUUACGCUUCGGUGAAGUUGGCGAGUGGCGCACGGGUGCGUAACGCGUAUGCAACCUACCCAUGACAGGGGGAUAGCACAGGGAAACUUGGAUUAAUACCGCAUGAAGCUAGUUUCACUGCAUGGUUAUAUUAGCCAAAAUAGCGCUCUGUUCAUGGAUGGGCAUGCGUCCCAUUAGCUGGUUGGCGGGGUAACGGCCCACCAAGGCGAUGAUGGGUAGGGGUUCUGAGAGGAAGGGC